UUUACGUAUGAAAAAAAAAGUGUCGUCUGUUAGAGAAAAAAAUGUUGUACUAUAUGAUAAAUCUAAUAGGACCUGAGAAAAUAGUUAUAAGGGUAAAAUCGUGAUUAUGUUUACAUAAUUUGCAAUAAAUAAUAAAUAAAAAAUAAUAAAUAAAAAUAAAAACAGAAUUAAAAAUAUAUUUGGAAUAUUUUAUUUUGAGCAAAUUAGAGUAAUACGCCUAAAAGAAGAAGCACAAUUUAUUUGUUUUAAAAGGUGAAAUAGAAC
rnacentral:lncRNA from 1 species